GGGUAUAUAGCUUAGUGGUAGAGUGCUUGCCUAGCAUGCAUGAGGCCCUGGGUUCAAUAGCUCAGUUCCA
rnacentral:tRNA from 1 species